UACAGAGGUCUCAAGCGUUGUUCGGAUUCAUUGGGCGUAAAGGGUGCGUAGGCGGUCGCGUAAGUCAGGUGUGAAAUCUCAGGGCUCAACCCUGAAACUGCACUUGAUACUGCGUGGCUCGAGUACUGGAGAGGAGACUGGGAUUUACGGUGUAGCAGUGAAAUGCGUAGAUAUCGGAAGGAAGACCAGUGGCGAAGGCGAGUCUCUGGACAGGUACCGACGCUGAGGCACGAAAGUCAGGGGAGCAAACGGG
rnacentral:rRNA from 1 species